ACCUAUCCCUUUUAGCCCUCUCUCUCUAGAAAAUCCGAAAAGGCUUUCUUUUCUCCAUUUUCUCUCAAGUCCAGCGCCCAUUCGUACAAACCUCCCAUCUGCAGCUGCUCCUUCAUCCUUGAUGCAACCAAUAACCCAGUAACAGACAUGAGCUUCCGUGACUCUAUAACCCAGCCAUGGUGGAGUGAGCUGACAAGCUAAGAUGCCGAAGGUCCCCCCAAACUUUGCAAAUCUGAGAAAAACAACAGGAGUGACCACCCUGAGUCGCCAAAUCCGAGAGCACAGAGGUCAUCCAGCUUCCCCCAAACUUGCAAUCUCAGCUGAUCUACACCAAGGGUUUCAUAAAUCCAGAACAGAGAAGAGGUGCCGACACACAAUUGAAGGUCCAUGUUCAUAGAUCCAAGAAAACGGAAGUUUCUGGACCAGUAGCCCGGAUCUGUGUUUAAACAUGGCUGCGUACAACGAUUCCAAACCCAAGUGCAACUGGACAACAGGCCGCUCCUCUGUUGAAAAUCCCAGAUCCAUUGAUCUGGAAGGUAUAAAAUGCAACCUUGCUUGUUCUGUGAUCGUGGAUCUGGUAUCAAAAUCUGUUCAGUUCUAUGGUGUAAUGAUUGGUGAUAUCUCUGUGUUCAACCUGCAAGUUUCCAAUGUUUUUGAAAAUUAAAAACAGAACUAAAAUAAACUAGGUAAAUAAAAAAAAACAUAUAUUUUUUUAA